AGGUAAAAACUCGAUUCUGACAACCUUGUAUAAAAGCUAAUGGGCAAGUUUCAUGAUUGCCAUAUGAACUUUAUGAAUCUUCAUAUUUGCUGCCACAUACAAUUCUUAUCUAACUUCAUGGCUGAGUAUGUUUUCAAUUGUUUCAGUAACUCCUGAUUUGUAUAUUCAUGAAUCAUAAGCCUCCCAGUUUUCUCCCCAUAUUUAUGCAACACAUAAGCAAAUCAUUAGUGAUUGUAUAUUUGAUAAUUGCAUAUAGUUCCCUAUAUUCUGCUCCUAUUGAUCUGAAUGACAACAUUCAUCGAGUCCUGUCCUGUUCAUACCAUUAUUAUUCAACCAUUUGUGAUAUCAAUCCAUUCAAUUAAGGGAUAACUGGAGGGAUUAUGACUUAUAUUUGCAACUUGCAAACCAGCUUCAUCAUCCACCACAACAAAUUUAAACUCCAAAAAUCUGCAACUUUAAAGGCAACACGUUUAUGUGCUCCCUUUGGAAGAAAAUGUGUGUUGCAGAGCGUAUUAGGACACCUAUAAGUAUUGUACCAAUAACUACACACAUCAAAUUAUAUAUCGUAAUAAAAAUAAAAACCACGAUUUUUUCCUGUGUUGUUGCACGAGUUUUCAAUAGCAAAUAUUACACAUGUAAACUAGGAAAACAAUAGGAACAAGUUGUAGAAAUUUUGCCAUUGUAAAUAAGUAGUACUAAUAUAGAAGAUAGUAUAAUUUACUUAAACUAUUAGUUCAAGUAUAAAAUAUAUAACAAAUAUUUUAAAAUUCAAUAUUCUCCAUUUGGUGAAGUGUGCAACUGUGCACGUAAUUCCCCACCAUUUGGUGUUUUUUACAGACUUAGGGGCAAAUUAGUGUGAAGUUUUUUGGUUUGAAAUUAAUGUGAGGUUUAUUACCAGACGACUCUUUGUAUAUAUGAAAGGACAAAUUUUGGAGAAAAGUGUUG
rnacentral:lncRNA from 1 species